rfam:Triticum aestivum genome assembly, contig: Triticum_aestivum_CS42_TGACv1_scaffold_593170_7BS
ACAGUACUCCCUCCGUCCGGAAAUACUUGUCAUCAAAAUGAAUAAAAGGGGAUGUAUCAAGAUGUAUUUUAGUUCUAGAUACAUCCCCUUUUGUCCAUUUUGAUGACAAGUAUUUUCGGACGGAGGGAGUACUAC